rnacentral:rRNA from 1 species
AUUGAACGCUGGCGGCAGGCCUAACACAUGCAAGUCGAACGGUAACAGGAAACAGCUUGCUGUUUCGCUGACGAGUGGCGGACGGGUGAGUAAUGUCUGGGAAACUGCCUGAUGGAGGGGGAUAACUACUGGAAACGGUAGCUAAUACCGCAUAACGUCGCAAGACCAAAGAGGGGGACCUUCGGGCCUCUUGCCAUCGGAUGUGCCCAGAUGGGAUUAGCUUGUUGGUGGGGUAACGGCUCACCAAGGCGACGAUCCCUGGCUGGCCUGAGAGGAUGACCAGCCACACUGGAACUGGGACACGGUCCAGACUCCUACGGGAGGCAGCAGUGGGGAAUAUUGCACAAUGGGCGCAAGCCUGAUUCAGCCAUGCCGCGUGUAUGAAGAAGGCCUUCGGGUUGUAAAGUACUUUCAGCGGGGAGGAAGGUGUUGAGGUUAAUAACCUCAGCAAUUGACGUUACCCGCAGAAGAAGCACCGGCUAACUCCGUGCCAGCCGCCGCCGUAA